GCCUUAGUAGUAUAAAAAUUACAUUGGUCUUGUAAACCAAAAAUGAGAAACUAAUUCUCCUAAGACA